CGAACGGGUGAGGAACGCGUGGACAACCUACCCCGGCGUGGGGGAUACCCGCCAGAAAUGGCGGCUAAUACCGCGUACGGUUCUCCGGCGUCAGGCUGGGGAAAGAAAGCAGUGAUGCGCGCUGGGAGGGGUCUGCGGCCGAUUAGCUUGUUGGCGGGGUAACGGCCCACCAAGGCGAUGAUCGGUAGCUGGUCUGAGAGGAUGAUCAGCCACACGGGGACUGAGACACGGCCCCG
rnacentral:rRNA from 1 species